GGGGUUGACUCGCCAUCUCUUGAGGUCGAUUCAAGAAGCACAUUGAUUUUUGUUGUCCUGUGUUUUGCAUCUGUGAUCAUUCUAGGAUGGACCUGAUUAAAAUUGUGAUCGACUCAUGAAGUGCUGAGAUCAACUUGGGAAUAUGCCACUUUUACUGCUUUCUGUUUCACCUUGAGACCACUCUAGGGUUGACUUGAUUGGA
rnacentral:lncRNA from 1 species